rnacentral:rRNA from 1 species
AGAGUUUGAUCCUGACUCAGGACGAACGCUGGCGGCGCGCCUAACACAUGCAAGUCGAACGAGCGAGAGAGAGCUUGCUUUCUCGAGCGAGUGGCGAACGGGUGAGUAACGCGUGAGGAACCUGCCUCAAAGAGGGGGACAACAGUUGGAAACGACUGCUAAUACCGCAUAAGCCCACGACCCGGCAUCGGGAAGAGGGAAAAGGAGCAAUCCGCUUUGAGAUGGCCUCGCGUCCGAUUAGCUAUUUGGUG